AGAAGAAAUUACGGACAAGGAGUUUAGAAUGUUUAAAUGUUCUAUGAACUCAAGGAAGAUAUAAGAGAGCAAAUACAAGAAGUCAAAGAUCACCGCGAGAUAGAGGUGCUAAAAAAAAAAACUAAACAGAACUCCUUGAAAUGGUAAACCAAAUUAAAAGCAUCACCAACAGAGUAGCCCACUUGGAAGAUACGACAUCAGACAAUGAAGAUAAAAUGUAUAAUCUUGAAAAGAAAAUCAUUAUCACUGUGUGGUAUAUAAAGAAACCAUGAGCAGAACAUUCAAGAAAUAUGGGAUAGCAUAAAAAGACCAAAUUUAAGAGUUGUUGGCAUAGAGGUCCAAACCAAAGGAAUGAACAAUCUGUUCAAUGAAAUAAUAUCAAAAAAUUUUCCAAACUACAGGACACCAAAUGUACAAAAUCACAACAGAUCCACACCAAGGCACGUUAUGAUGAAAAUACCCAACAUACAGAAUAAGGAAAGAAUUUUAAAAGCCACAAGAGAAAGGAAUCAGAUUACAUACAAUGGAAAACCAAUUAGCAUAAUGGCAGAUUUUAAUGGACUCUGAAAGACAAUGGGUGUCAACCAAGAAUCUCAUAUACAUCAAAAUUAAGCUUUAGAUUUGAAGAUGAAAUAAGAACCUUCCAUAAUAAACAAAAGUUAAGAGUUUAUAGCUAUAAAACCAACACUACAAAACAUCUUUGGAAAAAUAUUCCAUGAAGAGGAAACAAAAAAUCAGCAGGAGAAGGUAGCAUGCUAAAGGGAAAAACUAAUCAAAGAAAAGUCAAGUUAAAUAACAAACAAAUACAGCUUGGAAUACAAACCAUGUCUCAAUAGUAACCCCAAAUGUUAAUGGCUUAAACUCACCAAUCAAAAGACAUAGGCUAGCAUAUAGGAUUUUAAAAAAAGACCUAACAAUAUGCUGCCUCAUCUGAUAGGUAAAGACAUACAGACUGGAGGUAAAAGGUUGGGAAAAAUCAUAUCAUUCACAUGGACUGCGAUGGUUACACAGCCGAGUUCUACAAGACCUUUAAAGAAGAACUAAUACAAAUA
rnacentral:lncRNA from 1 species